GAAAUGCGAUAAGUAAUGCGAAUUGCAGAAUUUCCGUGAGUCAUCGAAUCUUUGAACGCACAUUGCGCCCCUUGGUAUUCCGAUGGGCAUGCCUGUUCGAGCGUCAUUAUCUUCCCUCAAACCUCGGGUUUGGUGUUGGGCCGUGCUGGUUCCGUCGUGACCAACUGGCCUCAAAGACAAUGGCGGCGUCCGUGGGACCCUCGGUGCAACGAGCUUUCUCAGGAGCACGCGUCGAGUUCAAGGACCUUCCGGGCCGGUCUCUCUUGUUAUCACAAAAGGUUGACCUCGGAUCAGGUAGGGAUACCCGCUGAACUUAAGC
rnacentral:misc_RNA from 1 species